rnacentral:rRNA from 1 species
UGCAAGUCGAACGGUGAACGAGGAGCUUGCUCCUCUGGAUCAGUGGCGAACGGGUGAGUAACACGUGAGUAACCUGCCCCAGACUCUGGGAUAAGCACUGGAAACGGUGUCUAAUACCGGAUACGAGCUUCAGCCGCAUGGCUAGGAGCUGGAAAGAAUUUCGGUCUGGGAUGGACUCGCGGCCUAUCAGCUAGUUGGUGAGGUAAUGGCUCACCAAGGCGACGACGGGUAGCCGGCCUGAGAGGGUGACCGGCCACACUGGGACUGAGACACGGCCCAGACUCCUACGGGAGGCAGCAGUGGGGAAUAUUGCACAAUGGGCGCAAGCCUGAUGCAGCAACGCCGCGUGAGGGACGACGGCCUUCGGGUUGUAAACCUCUUUUAGUAGGGAAGAAGCGAAAGUGACGGUACCUGCAGAAAAAGCACCGGCUAACUACGUGCCAGCAGCCGCGGUAAUACGUAGGGUGCAAGCGUUAUCCGGAAUUAUUGGGCGUAAAGAGCUCGUAGGCGGUUUGUCGCGUCUGCUGUGAAAACUGGAGGCUCAACCUCCAGCCUGCAGUGGGUACGGGCAGACUAGAGUGCGGUAGGGGAGAUUGGAAUUCCUGGUGUAGCGGUGGAAUGCGCAGAUAUCAGGAGGAACACCGAUGGCGAAGGCAGAUCUCUGGGCCGUAACUGACGCUGAGGAGCGAAAGCAUGGGGAGCGAACAGGAUUAGAUACCCUGGUAGUCCAUGCCGUAAACGUUGGGAACUAGAUGUAGGGACCAUUCCACGGUUUCUGUGUCGCAGCUAACGCAUUAAGUUCCCCGCCUGGGGAGUACGGCCGCAAGGCUAAAACUCAAAGGAAUUGACGGGGGCCCGCACAAGCGGCGGAGCAUGCGGAUUAAUUCGAUGCAACGCGAAGAACCUUACCAAGGCUUGACAUAUACCGGAAAAGUUCAGAAAUGUUCUCCCCGCAAGGUCGGUAUACAGGUGGUGCAUGGUUGUCGUCAGCUCGUGUCGUGAGAUGUUGGGUUAAGUCCCGCAACGAGCGCAACCCUCGUUCUAUGUUGCCAGCACGUAAUGGUGGGAACUCAUAGGA